rnacentral:lncRNA from 1 species
ACCCAAUAAUACCACUAAUCAGGGUUCUGGAGGUUUUUCUCCCUACCCGCCUCCUACCAUGGAAAUUCCAGCAAUCUUGGCCUCUCCAAAUUCUAUUUAUGUCACCUCAAACAGAGAGACCACUAGACUCCACCUUGGCUCCUCCUCCUUGCAUCAUGAUUAGGAAAACAUUUUCAGGGAAAAAGCCAAGGUGAUCCUAGAGCUCUCCUCAUUGUAUUCUCUUCUUUCUGUGAUCACACUUCUGCAUUUCCCACUAUCCAGUGUAUAAAACCAAUUUUUUAGCCUAUAUUAUCCAGUGUUCUAGUGGCUUACACAGCUGUGCCAGCCCCAGUCAUGCUAUCAUGGUUGGAAAAUUUGUUUUGGAUUAUUCCAAGUAUUUUUUAUUAGUCAUCUUGCAACCCACACUAAGAUUUAAAAAAAUCUAGUAGAAUGAAUGAGAGUUUUCUAACAUUCAUAUAUAAUUCCAUUUCUCAAUUUUAUUACCACUAGGCCUACUGCUUUAUUUGGUCAUUUGUGUUUGUCUUCGUUUUAUUGCGGUAACAUAUAACAUAUCUUUUGUUAAACAAACUAUACUAAUUUUCUAUGAUAAAAUUUCCAUCAUAUCAGCUUCCAGGCUUAAUCCUUUUCAAUUUUUGCAAUUUCUGAAUUAAGUAAAAUCUUCUUAGAUUUGCCUAGUGGGAUUCCCAUUCCCUGCCCCCUAACGUUUCUAGCUAGUUUGAUCCUAUUUCUUCAUGUUUACUUUUCAUACCAGUGUAAGAUGACCCUUUCCUAAAUAUGACACAAAGUCUCAUCAAUGAGCAAUGGCUCUCUCCAUAUGAAAUAGCCUUUUCUAGAGCCUUGCCAUCUCCACUUGCCAAAAUCACAUCUUUAAGGUCAAUCUCAGAUAUUAUAUGUUUCAUGAAGCCUAAAGAAGAUAGAUGUAGGGCACCUUGGUGGCUCAAUUGGUUACACCUUUGGUUCGGGUCAUGAUUCCAGAGUCCUGGGAUCAAGUCCUGUGUUGUGGGGGGGCGGCGGUGGGGAGAAGGUCCCUGCUCAGCAGGAAGUCUGCUUCUCCCUCUGCCCCUUUCCCCCACUCAUGCACAUUCUCUCACUCUCAAUCUCUCUCAAAUAAAUGAAUAAAAUGUUUAAAAAAAUAAGGAAGAUAGAUGUAACUUCCUUCUUCUGGGGCACUGUAAUACCCUCUUAUUUUAUUAACUUUGUGAGCAAUCAGCAUGUGCCAGUUACUUUUCUGAGUCUGACAAUUAUUUUAUCCAAGCCUCAUAAAGUCCUGCUUAGUGAGUGCUGUAAUUAUCCUCAACUUACAAAUGGGAAAACUAAGGCACAGGAAUGAUAAAUAAGUGGUCUAUAGUUGCACUACCUGUCAGCACUGUGCUGCGUUGCUUUACUUCACACAUCCUUACAGUAUCACAGACAUAUUAAACACUGCAUGAAGGUACUGGCUUUGUAAAAUAUGUAGCAAAGACCUUGCAUACAGCAGGCAUGAUACAGUCAGUAUUUGUUCCUGCUCUGGAAGGCAGAAAGAGUGAAAAAUAAUGGUCAUGGAAUGCUAUUCUUUUCUAAAAGUCAAUAUGAUUUGGGGAAAAUGAAUAAAAGCACAAGAAUUAGAAAGUGGGCAGUAAAUAAAAAAUAGAAUGGCUUUGGCUGCCUUGAUAUUUUAUGUUGGGUAAUUGUUUUAUUAAAAUUAAAAAUUGGAAUAGAAAAAUUUAUGAAAAAUUGAGUCAACUGAGAAAAUUCAAUAACUAAUAGUUAUGCAAAUCAUGUUUAAAGUUUACCCUUUUAUCCAAUAAAACUUUAUUUUUAAAAUUAUUAAUUAUUGUUGAGAAAAAUCUUAAAACAUAAGCUUUCUUAUAGCUUUUAAAACAGUGGAUACCAAAAUAUAAUUUAUCCUUUCUCUUGAGUCAUUAGAAACAUUGAUUCCUAAACUAUGCAGUUAUAAGGUCAUGCCUUCAGGAGUUAGCGAGAUCAAUGGAGACAUUUGCUUUAUGGCUGGGCAUGUUGCCUCAUUAAGAACCAUGACACAUUGUUUCCAUUUUUAGCAAUGCUAAUCCAUGCUGUUAAUAGUUAGUGAUGUCAAAUUCACUAAAUCAGGCAACAUAACUUUACACAGAAUUUUAAAAAUAUUCCCUGCCACUAUGGGUGGUUCUAAUUCUAUUAUAAUCUUUUAUGAACUCUGCAGUAUGUUUUUCAAUAAGAAAUUGUUUUCAUUUAUUUCUUAGUGAAUUUGUUUUAACUGCUAGAGUUGUCAGAAUGUGACUUCUACACAAAUAGAGUAUUUACAUAACUAGAAUAAAUUGCCAUCCAAUUUCUCAGUGAAAAUUAUUUGAUCUAUAUAUUGAGGGCAUGGACACAAUUAAGAAACCCAGAUUAGCAAACUUCACCAUUUGAUUAUAUCAAUCUCCAACUAAGAAUAUGAUUUAUUCACUUUUGCAUUCCCUGUGAUGCAGUGUGCUUACUUAAAAUAGUCAAUAAAUGGACAAAGCUACUGAAAGAGAUAAAUAUAAUCAUUAAAGAAAAUUCAUAGAAGUAUAGAAAAUAACUACAUUGGCUCUUCAUACAAAAGACCGAUUUAUAAUAAAGGUUAAAAAUUUAAAAAUCUGUGUAAAAUUAUCAACAAUAUUUUGUAAAAUAAUCACUAUCUAAACUUGGAAAAUAGUUAAGCACAUGAAUUAAACACAUAUUAACCCUAUAUAUGGAUACAGUGUUCAUAACUUCUUCCUCCCCUAUUGGCUUUAUUCCUCAUGGUUGAAUAGUACAUAAUCUUCUUACUCUGAGUUUUUCCCAGUCUUCAGAUUUUGAUUACAGUUUAAAAGAGUCUAACUUUGCACCAAAGGUCUUUUUUACUACCUCUCACUUAAUUUUGGUCUUUUACCUACUUUACAUAAAAUUUAUUAAGAUCUUAAAGAUUACAAGCAGUUUGCUGCAAGUUAAGAAUAAUGGAUGAAUUCUAACUUCUUAAAGCAGUUUGCUGCGAGUUAAGAAUAAUGGAUGAAUUCUCACUUCUUAACUUUUUUUCUUUUUUGGCAAAAUAAAAAAAGGAAGAAGAGACUAAGCAUUAUUCGCUGACAAUUAUGAGAGUACUUGCUCCUUUCUCUUGAAAUGUUCUUAAAUCCCCAUUUUCUCUAACCUCAUCAGGUACCUAGGUCCUAGGCCAGGUAGUAUCAAAUGAAAAAAAGCAGAACUUAUGUGACCCAUAUUUCAUUUCUGACUCCGCUUGCUCUUUGUGUAACUUAGAAUAAGAGGUUUUGUCUAUAUGAGAUUAAUGACCAUGAUGGCUAUGAUACAAAAUUGCCAUGAGACUCAAUAACUCCACGUUUAGAACAAUAUUUUGAAAACUUUAAACAUUAUAAAAUUAAUAAAUAUUAUUUCUGUAGACGAUCCUCCAUAGUAAGAUAUCAUGCCACUUUUCCCAAAACUCAAUUUAAGGGCAGUUAUUGAAAAAAAAAAAAAAAAA